rnacentral:lncRNA from 1 species
AUCGGAGAUAAAUAAGGUGAAUAAGAGUAAGAUUGAUUCUAUUCACACGCAAGGAAGUGCCUUUUUUGCACGAAAAAUAAAGAGGAUGGUACGUAACUACAUUUGAAAUUGUACUUUAUAACUUCUUAUUAAAUAUUUAUAUUAUUUUAAUAUUCUUUUUUUUUCUUUUUUUCUUUUUGUUUGAAUAGGGACUAUCCAGAGUUGACGCCUAUGCUAAAUUCUAUCAAAAUAAGAGUAGCGAGUUUGUGACCAAAUAGAUGAGGCAGCAUCAUGUAAGUAUCAUUACUCUACAUUUUGAAUGCCUUUAAAGAGUAAAAAAAUUUAUGAUUUUAUUUGAUUUAUUAUGAAGAAAAAAAAUAUUACAAUUAAGAGAGC